AGCGUGUAGGCGGCCAGACAGGUCCGUUGUGAAAACUGGAGGCUCAACCUCCAGCCGUCGAUGGAAACCGUCUGGCUAGAGUCCGGAAGAGGAGAGUGGAAUUCCUGGUGUAGCGGUGAAAUGCGCAGAUAUCAGGAGGAACACCCGUGGCGAAACGGCUCUCUGGGACGGUACUGACGCUGAGACGCGAAAGGCUGGGGGAGCAAACAGGAUUAGAUACCCUGGUAGUCCACGCCGUAAACGAUGGGUGCUAGGUGUGGGCGGUGUCGACUCCGUCCGUGCCGAAGCUAACGCAUUAAGCACCCCGCCUGGGGAGUACGGCCGCAAGGCUAAAAAUCAAAGGAAUUGACGGGGGCCCGCACAAGCAGCGGAGCAUGUGGUUUAAUUCGACGCGACGCGAAGAACCUUACCAGGGCUUGACAUGCACUGGAAAAGCCGUAGAAAAUACGGCCCCCCUUCGGGGCCUUUGCACAGGUGGUGCAUGGCUGUCGUCAGCUCGUGUCGUGAGAUGUUGGGUUAAGUCCCGCAACGAGCGCAACCCCUGUCCCAUGUUGCCAGCGUGAAAGACGGGGACUCAUGGGAGACUGCCGGUGACAAAUCGGAGGAAGGUGGGGAUGAUGUCAAGUCAUCAUGCCCCUUAUGUCCUGGGCUACACACGUGCUACAUUGGCCGGUACAAAGGGCUGCAAACCCGUGAGGGGGAGCGAAUCCCAAAAAGCCGGUCCCGGUUCGGAUUGGAGGCUGAAACUUGCCUGCAUGAAGUUGGAAUCGCUAGUAAUCG
rnacentral:rRNA from 1 species